rnacentral:rRNA from 1 species
UUGAACGCUGGCGGCAUGCUUUACACAUGCAAGUCGAACGGUAACAGGUUAAGCUGACGAGUGGCGAACGGGUGAGUAAUGCAUCGGAACGUACCCAGUCGUGGGGGAUAACUACGCGAAAGCGUGGCUAAUACCGCAUACGCCCUGAGGGGGAAAGCGGGGGACCUUCGGGCCUCGCGCGAUUGGAGCGGCUGAUGUCGGAUUAGCUGGUUGGUGGGGUAAAGGCCUACCAAGGCGACGAUCCGUAGCUGGUCUGAGAGGAUGAUCAGCCACACUGGGACUGGGACACGGCCCAGACUCCUACGGGAGGCAGCAGUGGGGAAUUUUGGACAAUGGGGGCAACCCUGAUCCAGCCAUUCCGCGUGAGUGAAGAAGGCCUUCGGGUUGUAAAGCUCUUUCAGCGGGAACGAAACGGUCGAUCCUGAUACGAUCGGCUAAUGACGGUACCUGCAGAAGAAGCACCGGCUAACUACGU